ensembl:lncRNA
AUUUAGCUUCCCCUAAUGGGGAAAGAGAACAGUCGAAACCAAAGGCAGAGGCUGAUUCAUCAAACUCUGCUAGCGUCCUGUAACAGUCAUGAGCUCCAGUUCAGCCUCAUCUGAACCUGCUCCAAAGAUCAUAUCAGGCCCUGCACAGAUCAGAUCCACCACACCAGUGCUUGUAGGAGCCAGGGUGAUGACGUCUAAUAUUCAGUGAGCAGGGGCCACCAGUUUGGCACUGGUUCCUCAGCCUGGAAAGGGUCUCUGUAAGCUCUGUGGCCAUAAGCCAGCCCAGGGUCACCACACUGACCACGGCCAAAGGGGCAGUCGUGACAUUGCCAAGGAUUUCCACCCCAUCACAAAGUGUACCAAUGACACGCAGCCCUCAGACUGUGCCACUGCAGCUGCCUGCCAACUUCCAGGUCCCACACCAAGGAAUGGUGUUAAUCCGCAGUGACAGCGGGCAGUUGAUGUUGGUCUCUCAGCAGGCUCUGGCACAGGCUCAGGGAAUGCUGCCAAAACCAGCCAGUGCCACUGCUUAGACCCCAUCCUCACAGGCAACUGUAACCACUACACCAAUCAUCAGAGUUUCUUUCCCACCUUCCAGUGCAUCAGCUACUACCAAUAUUAAACUUAACCCCACUACAGGGACUGCUGUUCAGAAACCACCCACCGCUACAGGGACUGCUAUUUUCACGCCAUCAUGUACAACAGGAGCUACCAUCAUUAAACCAGCCGGUGUUAUAGGGACAGCCAUCAGGAAGCCCAGCUCUACCGUGGGGCCUGUUAUCAAAGCCAGUCAAAUGACUCCAAACAGCAGCACACCGGGGACCUUUAACCAGAGGACUAAUUCUGUCACUGCAACUACCAUAAUUAAUACCUCUGCUGUAAAGUCUGUGGGCAAAGGUGUUCUCUCCACCCAGCGUAAUGCCCCACAUAUGGUGUCUCCUAAUGUACCGACCAGAUCUAGCACAAACACAU